UACGGAGGGAGCUAGCGUUGUUCGGAAUUACUGGGCGUAAAGCGCACGUAGGCGGCUUUGUAAGUUAGGGGUGAAAGCCCGGGGCUCAACCCCGGAAUUGCCUUUAAGACUGCAUCGCUUGAAUCCAGGAGAGGUGAGUGGAAUUCCGAGUGUAGAGGUGAAAUUCGUAGAUAUUCGGAAGAACACCAGUGGCGAAGGCGGCUCACUGGACUGGUAUUGACGCUGAGGUGCGAAAGCGUGGGGAGCAAACAGG
rnacentral:rRNA from 1 species